rnacentral:ncRNA from 1 species
UUUGGAGAAGCUGUUUUUGCCAGCCGAUGUUCGUCGGCGGGCAGAGCAGUGCCGAAGGUGAAAGCGCAGUGCGUGAAUCUCUCAGGCAAAAGGACAAAGU